UCCCUCCGAAGUUUCCCCCAGGAUAGCUGGCGCUCGCCGAGACAGUUUCGUCCGGUAAAGCGAAUGAUUAGAGGAGUCCGUGCCGAAAUGGCGUGGAGCUAUUGUCAAACUUUGAACGGGCGAGAAGGGGUGCCUACCGCUCGAUCUGGGAGGCUCGGCCCCCGUCGAAAUGUACGAGUGCCAAGUGGGCCACUUUUGGUAAGCAGAACUGGCGCUGUGGGAUGAACCAAACGCCGGGUUAAGGCGCCCGAUCGUCACGCUCAGCAGAACCCACAAAAGGCGUCCAUCGAAGACAGCAGGACGGUGACCAUGGAAGUCGGUAUCCGCCAAGGAGUGUGUAACAACUCACCUGCCGAAUUGGUGGGCCCUGAAAAUGGAUGGCGCUGUAGCGUGCAGCCUACACCCGGCCGUCUCGGCAAUUUUCUCCGGCCUGCCGGUAGAGACUGACCGAAGCCGAGACGAGUAGGAGGGUCGCCGCGGUCAGCGCUGAAGCCUUAGACGCGAGUCUGGGUGUAGCGGCCGCGGGUG
rnacentral:ncRNA from 1 species